rnacentral:lncRNA from 1 species
AAAUUUUAACAUAAUUUUAAUUAAAAUUCUUAUUAAAUCUUUAUUAAAUUCUAAUUGAAACAUUAUUUGAACCUAAACCAAAUCCUAAAUCCUAAAUAAAAUCCUAAACCAAAUCUUAAAUCCUAAAUCAAAUCCUAAUAAAAUCCUAAAUCUUAAAUAAAACUUAAAUAAAUAUUAAACCAAAUCGUAAGCAAAUUCUAAUCUUAACCAAAUCUUAGACCAAAUUUUAAAUCAAAUCCUAAAUAAAUUCUAAUCCUAAUCAAAUGCUAGAUCAAAUUCUAAACCAAAUUCUAAUCAAAUCUUAGAUCUUAAACAAAUUCUUAAUAAAUCCUAUUGCAAAAUAG